rnacentral:tRNA from 1 species
GGGUUGCUAACUCAAUGGUAGAGUACUCGGCUUUUAACCGAUUAGUUCCGGGUUCGAAUCCCGGGUAACCCAAUU